rnacentral:rRNA from 1 species
CUACGGGGGGCUGCAGGGAAGAAUAUUGUACAAUGGGGGCAACCCUGAUACAGCAACGCCGCGUGAAGGAAGAAGGCCUUCGGGUUGUAAACUUCUGUGACAGAGGACGAAGAAGAUGACGGUACUCUGAGAGGAAGCUCCGGCAAACUACGUGCCAGCAGCCGCGGUAAUACGUAGGGGGCGAGCGUUGUCCGGAAUCACUGGGCGUAAAGGGCGCGUAGGCGGCCUGUUAAGUUGAAUGUGAAAUCCCAGGGCUCAACCCUGGACGUGCAUUCAAAACUGGCGGGCUUGAGUAUGGUAGAGGAAAGUGGAAUUCCUAGUGUAGCGGUGGAAUGCGUAGAUAUUAGGAGGAACACCAGUGGCGAAGGCGACUUUCUGGGCCAAAACUGACGCUGAGGCGCGAAAGCGUGGGGAGCAAACAGGAUUAGAUACCCGCGUAGUC